CAGUAGCCACGGUAAUACGAAGGGUGCAAGCGUUAAUCGGAAUUACUGGGCGUAAAGCGUGCGUAGGCGGUUGUGUAAGACAGGUGUGAAAUCCCCGGGCUUAACCUGGGAACUGCGCUUGUGACUGCACAGCUAGAGUAUGGCAGAGGGGGGUGGAAUUCCACGUGUAGCAGUGAAAUGCGUAGAGAUGUGGAGGAACACCGAUGGCGAAGGCAGCCCCCUGGGCCAAUACUGACGCUCAUGCACGAAAGCGUGGGGAGCAAACAGGAUUAGAUACCCGCGUAGUCCCUGUCUCUUAUAA
rnacentral:rRNA from 1 species